UACGUAGGAUCCGAGCGUUGUCCGGAAUUACUGGGUGUAAAGGGCGUGUAGGUGGGUCUCUAAGUCGGUGGUGAAAUCCUGCAGCUUAACUGUAGAAUUGCCGUCGAUACUGGAGAUCUUGAGUACGGCAGAGGGAAAUAGAAUUCAUGGUGUAGCGGUGAAAUGUGUAGAUAUCAUGAAGAAUACCGGUAGCGAAGGCGGUUUCCUGGUCCGUAACUGACACUGAGGCGCGAAAGCGUGGGGAGCAAACAGG
rnacentral:rRNA from 1 species